rnacentral:rRNA from 1 species
GGGCCCGCACAAGCGGUGGAGCAUGUGGUUUAAUUCGAUGAUACGCGAGGAACCUUACCAGGGCUUAAAUGUAGAACGACCGAUUUGGAAACAAGUCCUCUCUUUGAGCGGUCUACAAGGUGCUGCAUGGUUGUCGUCAGCUCGUGCCGUGAGGUGUCGGGUUAAGUCCCUUAACGAGCGCAACCCCUAUCUCUAGUUGCCAGCGGAUAAUGCCGGGGACUCUAGAGAAACUGCCCGCGCAAGCGGUGAGGAAGGCGGGGAUGACGUCAAAUCAUCACGGCCCUUACGUCCUGGGCUACACACGUGCUACAAUGGUCGGUACAAAGGGCAGCUACCACGCAAGUGGAUGCA